GAAAUCCCAAACCCAACAAUAAAUGAAUACGUUAAAAUGUAUGUUAAUAAUACGACGUUUGUGUGUGGAUCAAAGGCAUUCGGAAGAACGCACUUGCCCCCUUGGCUUUUCGAAAAUAUAUCAAAUACGUUAUGUACAAAUUGAUAAUGAAACUAAAAUUGUGUAAUUAUUAUAAUUAAUUUUCCACCCCUUAAAUACAAAAUUCUGUGGACUUGCUUUCCUCCCCUAGACAAAAUUCUGCGGAUGUCUGUGUCAUAUUUUGACUUUGUUAGACACGUGCCAAUAAUAAGAUGUUUGUUUGGUUGUUUUCGUGUCGAUAUCAUUACAUCGAACGGCACAAAGCAAAAUUUCGAGUCCUAAACGCGUGAAAAUUAUUAUAGUAAGUUUAAUACGAGAAGAGGGAACGCGGCGCAACGUUCAGGCAAUUUCGAUACACCACGGUGUUGUUUGAAAUUUUAGACUUAAUAUU